rnacentral:rRNA from 1 species
UACAUGGGGUGCAAACGUUGCUCGGAAUUAUUGGGCGUAAAGCGCACGUAGGCGGUUCGUUAAGUCGGAUGUGAAAGCCCUCGGCUCAACUGAGGAAGUGCACCCGAAACUGGCGAGCUUGAGUACGAAAGAGGAUCGCGGAAUUCCCGGUGUAGAGGUGAAAUUCGUAGAUAUCGGGAGGAACACCGGUGGCGAAGGCGGCGAUCUGGGUCGAUACUGACGCUGAGGUGCGAAGGCCAGGGUAGCGAACGGG